UCAGUGUUAUGAGAAGUUUUCCUGGAUGACUUUCCUCAAAGUUAAUUUUCUGCCCUCUUUCCCUCCCAAAAUAGCUUUGUGAUAUGACCCAUCUAUGGACAUCUACUAAAAGUAUGACACUUUGCUUUAAAAAAAUGUCUUGUUCAAAACUGUUACUAUUCUGUAUGUCCUGUGAAGUAUCAAGACAGGUGCUGGCUGUGUUUGUUUCUGUGAGAAGACACUGAAAAGUUGUUUGAGUUAAUAGAAAUGUUCUGUAUGUUGUCUGUAGUAUUCAGACGAGACGCUGGCAGAAGUUUAGAAGCUUCAAGCUGGACGACAUGCAGGCUUCUAAAAAGAAGCUGGAAGAGCUGAGGACGGCAGGAGGAGACCACGUUUACUUUGCCAAGUUCCUCACCAGUGAGAAGUUGAUGGACCUGUAGCUCAGUGACAGUAACUUCAGACGACACAUCCUCCUGCAGUACCUUAUCCUGUUCCAGUACCUCCAAGGGACAGGUCAAGUUCAAAAGCUCUUGUCCUGUAAAUUCUCUCUUCACUACCAACUCUUGUCCUGUAAAUUCUCUCUUCACUAUCAACUCUUGUCCUGUAAA
ensembl:lncRNA